rnacentral:lncRNA from 1 species
AAGAGUUUGAUUGAUAUGGCUGAUUUUGAUGAGGAGGAAGCCCAAUUCAAGGAUAUCAAGGAUUCAUUUCAUGAUAUUUCUCCCAAUUCUUACCCUCUUGUCAUAACAUUCCAUAAGUUCUUGAUGAUGCUAGAUGGAACACUGGGGAACUCAUACUUUGAAAGAUUCCUUGAUGCAACAAAACUUACACACACGGUCAAUUGCAAAGUUCAAGUUCAGUUGCUUUGCAGACCUUUAUAAGGACAAAGGAGGUUAAGUAUGAGAGAUUCAGUUCAUCUUACUGGCCCCAUUUUAAUAUCCAGUUAACAAAGAAGCUCGAUGCUUCAAGAGUCUUUACAGAGAUAAUAUCUCAUAUUAAAGGUGGUUUGGGAGCCAUGGAAGCAGGUGAUGGUAAACUCAAUCGCGACGACUAUGUUCAAUUGUCAGAGGGCCGGGUUUCCAAUUUAAGCAAGCAAAAGAGAGAAGCAAUAUACGAUAUAUUUCAGGCUUAUGAAAAAAUGAAGAUGGAAAAUGGUGAAUUUGAUCUGGGUGAUUUUGUAAUUGAUCUUCACCGUCGUCUCAUGCAUGAAAAAUAUGGGGGUGAUCUCACAGUGAGUCAAUUUGCUCUGUUUAAACAUAUGUGCAUCAACAAUACUGAAGAGGGUUUUAUUUUUUCUGGGGAUACAGCACAAACAAUUGCAAGGGGUAUUGAUUUUCGGUUCCAAGAUUUACG